UGACUGUCUUGCUAACCCGACUGUCCU
rnacentral:piRNA from 1 species